GCGAUCCCAGGUCAGGCGGGGCUACCCGCUGAGUUUAAGCA
rnacentral:rRNA from 1 species